CCGGCUGUGGGACCCCCUCAGCCCCGGCUGGGGCCCGCGAGGCUCUGGCACCCCGGCCCAGGCGAACAGACCCCGGGUGUCUGCCCAGCUAACGCAGAUGCUCGGCUCUCCCCUGAGACAUGAACACACGAGCAGGCAGGGCUGACAUGGCCGCUGCCCUGUCACAACACGGCCCAGCACCGAGACCUCCAGGCUCUGCUAUUUCAAGCUUACCUGCAGAUUCUGCUGAAUGCGAGCAGGAGUGACACUCUUGGGAAUGACAACCACUUUACGCUGCACUUGCCACCUGCAAGAGGAGGCAACAUGCAGUUCAAGUGACCCAGGAGCUUCUUGUGCACAACCCCAAGCUAUUAUGAAGAGAUUUCCACUCUUUACAGUUCAAUACUACUGGGAAAGAAAAGGCUCUGACCAGCCACCCCUGCUUCCUGCAAAGUUGACACAUUUCAGCAGUUAUUUUGCUGAGAGGAAGUAGGAAAAAAUCAAACAAUCACAAUCAGUGCACGUGAUGUUCAGAUGCACUGUGACCAGAACCAAGUGUUGCUAUAUCACAGUUUCUAAAAAUUGCACUAAAAUUGGCUGAAAAGGAAUUCACACCAUGAGAUAAAUAAUGCCAAUUUAAAAGGUGUUGUUCCCUAAAAUAAAGAGGUUUGCCUCUUAUCCUUCAAA